GAUGAACGCUGGCGGCGUGCCUAAUACAUGCAAGUCGAGCGAACAGACGAGGAGCUUGCUCCUCUGACGUUAGCGGCGGACGGGUGAGUAACACGUGGAUAACCUACCUAUAAGACUGGGAUAACUUCGGGAAACCGGAGCUAAUACCGGAUAAUAUAUUGAACCGCAUGGUUCAAUAGUGAAAGACGGUUUUGCUGUCACUUAUAGAUGGAUCCGCGCCGCAUUAGCUAGUUGGUAAGGUAACGGCUUACCAAGGCAACGAUGCGUAGCCGACCUGAGAGGGUGAUCGGCCACACUGGAACUGAGACACGGUCCAGACUCCUACGGGAGGCAGCAGUAGGGAAUCGUCCGCAAUGGGCGAAAGCUUGACGGAGCAACGCCGCGUGAGUGAUGAAGGUCUUCGGAUCGUAAAACUCUGUUAUUAGGGAAGAACAAAUGUGUAAGUAACUAUGCACGCCUUGACGGUACCUAAUCAGAAAGCCACGGCUAACUACGUG
rnacentral:rRNA from 1 species